UACGUAGGGUGCGAGCGUUGUCCGGAAUUAUUGGGCGUAAAGGGCGCGUAGGCGGUUUGUCGCGUCGGCCGUGAAAACCUGGGGCUCAACUCUGGGCGUGCGGUCGAUACGGGCAUCACUUGAGUUCGGCAGGGGAGACUGGAAUUCCUGGUGUAGCGGUGAAAUGCGCAGAUAUCAGGAGGAACACCGGUGGCGAAGGCGGCUUCCUGGUCUGUAACUGACACUGAGGCGCGAAAGCGUGGGGAGCAAACAGG
rnacentral:rRNA from 1 species